CCUACGGGAGGCAGCAGUGGGGAAUUUUGCGCAAUGGGCGAAAGCCUGACGCAGCAACGCCGCGUGAGUGAUGAAGGCCCUCGGGUCGUAAAGCUCUGUCGGGAGGGAAGAAAUGGUUGUGUGUUAAUACCACAUGAUCUUGACGGUACCUCCGAAGGAAGCACCGGCUAACUCCGUGCCAGCAGCCGCGGUAAU
rnacentral:rRNA from 1 species